UACUGGUGAUUAAAUUGUGAUUCCUUUUAAACUCACACACGGAUGACUAGCUUCUCUUACCUUGUUUUUCCUUUACCCUUUUAUCUCGGCAGUUAGGAGGUGGCAGACUGGAGGUGUUACUCCGGUCGUCAUGGAAAUAGUCUCCCAGAAGCUGGCGCUGAAGGGGUGGGCGGGGGUGGGGGGCAACAGUGUGAAACGGCCGAUCUGAGGGGAGCAAGCUCUGGUUAAGAGGCCAAAGAGCAGCUGGAAAAGGACACAGGCCUGGGAAUGCCCGGAUGCAGGCCUGGGAAUGCCCGGAUGCAUCCCAGGGAAUGCCCGGAUGCUCCCGCAACCUCUCACCGAUCUCUCCUUUGUCCUUUCCCAUCUCUUAACAAGUAAGCGUUGGGAUCGAAAACUACAUCUCUGUCCAAACCCAGUAAAGAGCUGGCUACCGUAGCAGAGAGAAGAUGUUCCUACAACAACUAAGCUAAUUCAGAUGGGGAAGGCUAAAUUCCAGAGACCCCAAGGAUAGCCGGAAGGUUAGCACCACCUGAAAAGGAGAUGUCAAGGCUUCUGCUUGGUUUGCAACGAGCUCUGUGGCCCGCUCAGCUCCCGUGUGAGCUGCUCAGCGGUGGACCCGGGGUCUCCAAAGCCAGAGACGUGUAGAGCAGUGCCGCUCCUGGAUCCUCGACUUCUCCCCACCAUGGAGGCCUCUCCGGUUCCAGCUGCAGCCUCACUGAAAAGCUUCUCUUUCGAACCCUACGUGAAUUCAGAACUCAGGAAGGAAAAGGGCUACUUGUCUCCCAACACCCAUCAACCUCAUCAUCAUCAUCAUCAUCAUCAUCAUCAUCAUCAUCACUGA
rnacentral:lncRNA from 1 species